rnacentral:rRNA from 1 species
AUACGGAGGGUGCAAGCGUUAAUCGGAAUUACUGGGCGUAAAGCGCGCGUAGGCGGUUUGAUAAGUCGGAUGUGAAAUCCCCGGGCUCAACCUGGGAAUUGUAUUCGAUACUGUCAGGCUAGAGUGUGGUAGAGGGAAGUGGAAUUUCCGGUGUAGCGGUGAAAUGCGUAGAUAUCGGAAGGAACACCAGUGGCGAAGGCGGCUUCCUGGACCAACACUGACGCUGAGGUGCGAAAGCGUGGGGAGCAAACAGGAUUAGAAACCCUUGUAGUCC